rnacentral:rRNA from 1 species
AGGGCGCUUUGGCGUUGGCAGCGGUCUAAGUUCCCUGGAACAGGACGUCACAGAGGGUGAGAAUCCCGUAUGUGGUCGCUGGCCUUCGCCGUGUAAAGCCCCUUCGAC